AGAAGGGCCAUAGCUCAGUAGUAGAGCAUUUGCCUUGCAAGCAGAAGGUUCCAGGUUCAAUUCCUGGCCUUUCCA